rnacentral:rRNA from 1 species
AUUGAACGCUGGCGGAAUGCUUUACACAUGCAAGUCGAACGGCAGCACGGGGCAACCUGGUGGCGAGUGGCGAACGGGUGAGUAAUACAUCGGAACGUGCCCAAUCGUGGGGGAUAACGUAGCGAAAGUUACGCUAAUACCGCAUACGAUCUACGGAUGAAAGCGGGGGAUCGCAAGACCUCGCGCGAAUGGAGCGGCCGAUGUCAGAUUAGGUAGUUGGUGGGGUAAAGGCUCACCAAGCCGACGAUCUGUAGCUGGUCUGAGAGGACGACCAGCCACACUGGGACUGAGACACGGCCCAGACUCCUACGGGAGGCAGCAGUGGGGAAUUUUGGACAAUGGGCGCAAGCCUGAUCCAGCCAUUCCGCGUGCAGGAUGAAGGCCUCGGUUGUAAC